rnacentral:lncRNA from 1 species
GUCUAAUAUAUGUACUAAGUCUGUAAACAGGAAGUAGAAGAGCGACAGACCUGAAAACCGUUUACAUGGUACAGCACCCCAACCUGAUGCUUGAUACCAAAUAUCUAAUAGCUGUGAUACAUAGUAGUUGAGAAAAGUGUAAUGAAAAUUUUUCAUUAAUACCCCUAUGUCUAAUAUAUGUACUAAGUCUGUAAACAGGAAGUAGAUGAGCACCAGACCUGAAAACCACUUACACGGUACAGCACCCCAACCUGAUGCUUGAUACCAAAUAUCUAAUAGCUGUAAUACAUAGUAGCUGAGAAAAGUGUUACAAAAAAGUGUUACGGAUGGACUGACAGAGGACGGUGUUACGGCCAGAAAUCGCCUUUAAAUUGUAGCCAACAAAAGACACAAAUCAAUAGUAAAAUUUAACAACAUUUAAUAUACAAAAGUUUACAAAAGGUAUUAAACAAAUAUUACUGUUAACUUAACUGUCAAAAUAUGAGUCCAAUCUGUUAUCUUUAUCUGUAUCCGGAAAUCUUUCGGAAUCCAAUUUGAAUAUUACGUUCACUACUAAUGUCACAAUCCAGUAUGAUGUUGUCUUUAGAAUAAAAGUGUCAAUCCAAAUGCUAUGAAUACUAAUGUCUAUCAAUGUCUAUGUCCAAGUUUAAUUAUGAGAGUUUAACUUUAGUGUCUGUAUAUAUAGUGUUGUCAUGGAAAAUUCUAGAACACUCUAUAAUGGAACAUUGUGGAAAAUCCUGGAAAGUUUAAGGAUCAUUCUAGAAAGUUCCAAUCAUUCUGUGAUUGUUCCAGUGAUUCCUAAACUGCACAGUUAUAAGAUUAUUUGGUAAACAACUAUCAGGCCAUACAACACAAAUUAGGCCAACAUAAAUAAACAUAAUAAUUACAAUAUCAUAACACCUCCCCCC